rnacentral:rRNA from 1 species
AGAGUUUGAUCAUGGCUCAGAUUGAACGCUGGCGGUAUGCUUAACACAUGCAAGUCGAACGGAAACGAUGGUAGCUUGCUACCAGGCGUCGAGUGGCGGACGGGUGAGUAACGCGUAGGAAUCUGCCCAGUAGUGGGGGACAACCAGGGGAAACCCUGGCUAAUACCGCAUACACCCUACGGGGAAAAGAGGGCCUCUUCUUGAAAGCUCUUGCUAUUGGAUGAGCCUGCGUGAGAUUAGCUAGUUGGUGAGGUAAAAGCUCACCAAGGCGACGAUCUCUAGCUGGUCUGAGAGGACGAUCAGCCACACUGGGACUGAGACACGGCCCAGACUCCUACGGGAGGCAGCAGUGGGGAAUAUUGGACAAUGGGCGCAAGCCUGAUCCAGCAAUACCGCGUGUGUGAAGAAGGCCCUAGGGUUGUAAAGCACUUUCAGAAGUGAAGAAAUGCUUAAGGUUAAUAACCUUGAGUCUUGACGUUAACUGCACAAGAAGCACCGGCUAACUCCGUGCCAGCAGCCGCGGUAAUACGGGGGGUGCAAGCGUUAAUCGGAUUUACUGGGCGUAAAGCGCGCGUAGGCGGUUGAUUAAGUUGAAUGUGAAAGCCCUGGGCUCAACCUAGGAACUGCAUCCAAAACUGCUAAGUCUAGAGUGUAGUAGAGGGAAGUGGAAUUCCGGGGUAGGGGUAAAAUCCGUAGAUAUCACUAGGAAUACCUAAAGCGAAGGCGAUCUCCUGGAACAAUACUGACGCUAAGGCGUGAAAGCGUGGGGAGCAAACGGGAUUAGAUACCCCGGUAGUCCACGCCCUAAACGAUGUACACUAGUCGUCGGAAAGCUUGUCUUUUCGGUGAUGCACUUAACAGAUUAAGUGUUCCGCCUGGGGAGUACGGUCGCAAGAUUAAAACUCAAAGGAAUAGACGGGGACCCGCACAAGUGGUGGAGCAUGUGGUUUAAUUCGAAAAUACGCGAAGAACCUUACCUAGCCUUGACAUUGAUUGAACGGACCAGAGAUGGACCGGUGCCCUUCGGGGAACAUGAAAACAGGUGCUGCACGGCUGUCGUCAGCUCGUGUCGUGAGAUGUUGGGUUAAGUCCCGCAACGAGCGCAACCCUCGUCCUUAGUUGCCAGCAGGUUAAGCUGGGCACUCUAAGGAGACUGCCUUCGUAAGGAGGAGGAAGGUGAGGACGACGUCAAGUCAUCAUGACCCUUACGGGAUGGGCUACACACGUGCUACAAUGGCAAGUACAGAGGCCAGCAAUACCGCGAGGUGGAGCGAAUCCCACAAAGCUUGUCGUAGUCCGGAUCGGAGUCUGCAACUCGACUCCGUGAAGUCGGAAUCGCUAGUAAUCGUAGAUCAGAAUGCUACGGUGAAUACGUUCCCGGGCCUUGUACACACCGCCCGUCACACCAUGGGAGUGGGAUGCAAAAGAAGUGGCUAGUUUAACCUUCGGGAGGAAGGUCACCACUUUGUGUUUCAUGACUGGGGUGAAGUCGAAACAAGGUAACC